AUCCGCGAUAAGUUCUUUGUAGAACUUUAAGAAAAGCAUUUUCCAUUAAAAGAAUGCUUUCAUGUGAUAAUGCCGGGGAAGGUUUUCCGGUUUAUCCCGGAGGGCUUGUAGCUCAGUUGGUUAGAGCGCGCGCUUGAUAAGCGUGAGGUCGGAGGUUCAAGUCCUCCCAGGCCCACCAAUUAUCCAUCCAUAGAAAAGCGCUUAGAAAGUUUGACUGUUAACAGGUCAACGUUGUUUUGUAGGACGCCAAUAUUGUCUUGAAAAAGAGCUUUCUUGUAAAGUUUGAGAAAACUUGUUUAUCGCUUUUUGUAAGAUGUGGUGUUUGUCUGCUUUUAAAGCGAUCGAAACUGAAAGUGUUUCAAAGAUAAGAGUCUUGGAACAGAAGAGUCUUGGAAUAGAAAAGAAUAUAAAGUCUAGGUGGUAUUACAUAGUCUAGAGUUAAAUUGUUCAUGAUUGGAACAUUUCAUAUUGAAAUGCUGCGAUAUAAAGGUUUCGAAUAAAUUAUUCCGUUUUGGGGCCGUAGCUCAGCUGGGAGAGCACC
rnacentral:misc_RNA from 1 species